GGUGGCUCAGUAGUAGAGUGCUUGCCUUGCAUGCAUGACGCCCUGGGUUCAAUUCCUCAGCACCA
rnacentral:tRNA from 1 species